UACGUAGGGUGCGAGCGUUAAUCGGAAUUACUGGGCGUAAAGCGUGCGCAGGCGGUUCGUUAAGUCAGCUGUGAAAGCCCCGGGCUCAACCUGGGAAUGGCGGUUGAAACUGGCGAACUAGAAUCUGGCAGAGGGGGGUGGAAUUCCACGUGUAGCAGUGAAAUGCGUAGAGAUGUGGAGGAACACCGAUGGCGAAGGCAGCCCCCUGGGCUGAGAUUGACGCUCAUGCACGACAGCGUGGGGAUCAAACAGG
rnacentral:rRNA from 1 species